rnacentral:rRNA from 1 species
AUACGUAGGGGGCUAGCGUUAUCCGGAAUUACUGGGCGUAAAGGGUGCGUAGGUGGUCUCUUAAGUCAGAAGUGAAAGGCUACGGCUCAACCGUAGUAAGCUUUUGAAACUAAGAGACUUGAGUGCAGGAGAGGAGGGUAGAAUUCCUAGUGUAGCGGUGAAAUGCGUAGAUAUUAGGGGGAAUACCAGUUGCGAAGGCGGCUCUCUGGACUGUAACUGACACUGGGGCACGAAAGCGUGGGGAGCAAACAGGGUUAGAUACCCUGGUAGUCCACGCCGUAAACGAUGAGUACUAGCUGUCGGGGGUUACCCCCCUCGGUGGCGCAGCUAACGCAUUAAGUACUCCGCCUGGGAAGUACGCUCGCAAGAGUGAAACUCAAAUGAAUUGGCGGGG